rnacentral:rRNA from 1 species
AAUGAACGCUGGCGACAGGCCUAACACAUGCAAGUCGAACGAGAGGCGGACGGGUGAGUAAUGCCUGGGAAACUGACUGAUGGAGGGGGAUAACAAAUGGAAACGGUAGCUAAUACCGCAUACCCUCACAUGCGCCCAGAUGGGAGUCGCUAGUGGGUGGGGUAGAGGCUCACAAAGGAGAGGAUCCCUAGCUGGUCUGAGAGGAUGAACAGCCACACGGGAAGUGAGAAACGGCCCAGACCCAUCCGGGAGGCAGCGUUGGGGAUUAUUGCACACGGGGCGCAAGCCUAAUGCAGCCAUGCCGCGUGGAUGAAGAGGGCCUUCGGGUGGUAAAGUAUUUUCAGCGGGGAGGCGUUACCCGCAGAAGAAGCACCGGCGAACUCCGUGCCAGCCGCCGCGGUAAUAC